GCAUCUACCGAUUGAAUGGUGAGGUAAAAUCUCCGGACUAUGACGCGUUGGGGUCAAACCUAAUGCAGUCGUGGGAAGUGGAUUAAACCUUUCCAUUUAGAGGAAGAUGAAGUCGUAACAAGGUUUCCGUAGGUGAACCUGCAGAAGGAUCAAGAUGGUAAGAGCGUCGUGUAGGGGAAGAGGGUAGUACAUGGUGGUGGCCGCAGUAUCAAAAAAAAAAAAAAUGAAAAGAACAGAGGAAGUAGAUAAAUGAAACUAGCAGACCACACAACAUCUC
rnacentral:misc_RNA from 1 species